rnacentral:rRNA from 1 species
UACAGAGGGGGCAGGCGUUAUUCGGAAUUAUUGGGCGUAAAGGGCGCGUAGGCGGCUUUGCAAGUGACGGGUGAAAUCCCUCGGCUUAACCGAGGAACUGCCUGUCAGACUGCAUGGCUUGAGACCAGGAGAGGUGAGUGGAAUUCCCAGUGUAGCGGUGAAAUGCGUAGAUAUUGGGAGGAACACCAGUGGCGAAGGCGGCUCACUGGACUGGUACUGACGCUGAGGCGCGAAAGCGUGGGGAGCAAACAGG